rnacentral:rRNA from 1 species
CAGUAGCCGCGGUAAUACGAAGGGUGCAAGCGUUACUCGGAAUUACUGGGCGUAAAGCGUGCGUAGGUGGUUGUUUAAGUCUGCUGUGAAAGCCCUGGGCUCAACCUGGGAAUUGCAGUGGAUACUGGGCAACUAGAGUAAGGUAGAGGAUAGUGGAAUUUCCGGUGUAGCAGUGAAAUGCGUAGAGAUCGGAAGGAACAUCUGUGGCGAAGGCGACUAUCUGGGCCAUUACUGACACUGAGGCACGAAAGCGUGGGGAGCAAACAGGAUUAGAUACCCGCGUAGUCCCUGUCUCUUAUAC